rnacentral:rRNA from 1 species
UACGUAGGGUGCGAGCGUUAAUCGGAAUUACUGGGCGUAAAGCGUGCGCAGGCGGUUAUGCAAGACAGAUGUUAAACCCCCGGGCUCAACCCGGGAUCUGCAGGGGAAACGGCAUUGCUCGAGGAUGCGAGGGGUGAAUGGAACUCAUGGAGUAGGGGUGAAAUCCGUUGAUAUCAUGGGGAACACCAAAAGCGAAGGCAAUUCACUGGCGCAUUCCUGACACUGAAACACGAAAGCGUGGGUAGCGAACGGG